ACACAGUGAUGUCAUAAUGACCUCUGGAUAUGGCUCCUCAGCAUAAACUCCAGUCAAUAAGGUUGCCUUCAGGUCGGGAGUUCAACGACUCAGUUUGCUGGCUGAGGGACCCAGGUGGGGAGAAGGAUGGAUGUGGGGCCGAGUGGAGACAUGAUUCAUUCUCCUGCUAAAGUGAGAAAUGGGCCUUGAAUAUUCAAAUCAAUUAAACAAUUAAUUCCCACCCUGCAAACUUGCACGUCAAGCUUCAGCCUGUGGCCAAUUUCUUCGGUUGAAUUAUAACCCCCCUGAAAAGCAGCAGUUCCUAAUGGAAAAGCUGACGGAGUCUUAAGUACAUGCCGCCCUGCGACAAUGUCCCCGGCAAAACUUAAUUCUGGCCUGGGAAAAUGGAGGCCCGGUGGCGAAGCUAUCAAAAAUGACGUCAGUGGGGAAAGGCUGUACCUUGUGAGGCCACGCGGCGACGAGAAUCACCCAUGACAGUGGGACCAUCCAGAAGAAACGCAUUGCCUUGGGGGAAGAAUUCAAAUGCCCUUUUUCAUUCUAGGGCUGUUUCCAUAAGAUGCAGCACGGUACUUAAACUCUAGCGGUUUAACUAAACUGGAUGUUAAAAUCUGGGCCAUUUGGAGCCCCAGAAAUGUAUGUUAUUGACGGAUGUUCACAAACCGGAGAGCAGUUUUGGGGAUGAAGUAUUGGAAAAGCAUUUUACUUCUCUU